GCCCGCUUGGCUCAGUGGUAGAGCGUGUCGCCAGUGCCGUCCCUAAGAAAUAUCUAUAGAACAGUAUCUGGUUAAUGGCAAGAUCAUCAGUUCGACUCUGAUAGUGGGUA